rnacentral:lncRNA from 1 species
GAAAAAGCAAAGAGUGGGACCACUUGGAGGAACCCAUUAACAUACUGACCACACAGUGUGACCAGGAUGGUGGAGAGGGGAGGCAGAGAGUUUCUACAUUGUUUGGAACAGCCCUAAGAAGUGGAUAGACUAUGGAGACCUGGUUACCCAGCAAGUCAAUAGGAGAGCCCGGAUUUCAACCCAAACCUUUCUAUAUCCAAAUUGCACAAUUUGUGUUUGCUUCUCUUGGCUUCUUUUUUCCCCCAGAUUUUCAUUUUCAAAAUUACCUCUAAAAUCAUUCAGACUCUGCAGAAGGGAAUGAAGGGCCUGCUACUUCCCCACCCCACCCCUGCUUCUCCCUUGCCCCAGGCCUGCACAGCUAACUGUUCGGUGGGUGUGCUCGCUGGCCGCCUUCUCUGCAUGCACAGAUCGCCUAAAGGAGCCAGGCAUGCCUGUCUCCGGUGAGAACUGCCAAGAGGGCAGAGGUGGGGCUCAGGCAUGCAUUGUCCUCACCAGGACCUACCUGAGUGAGGCGAGUGAGGUGCUGGGCUCUGGGAACCAGGAUCCUCCCUGGUUUAGCUGCAGUCGAGUGUCCAGGGAGCCAGUGCCUUUGGGGAAGGAGAGCCGUCUUGCUGCCCUGACUUCCUGCCUUGCUCUGGCCUGCCCUGCCCAAGUGGAGAGCAGAGCCCCUGACAGUGAGAGGGCGGGGAGGACGUUUGCUCAUUUCUGUUUUCCAGAGCCUCUAUGUACCCGUGCUCAGCUACUGUUGCAUGAAAGCAAUAAAGAAGCACUAGCCCUAGUCUUGCAGGCACAUCACAGAGUGACUUUGGGCAAGUCACUUGAAGAUCAGAAGAGUCUAGUCUUGGUUUCUAAGGGACAAGUAGUUAAUAAAUAUUUCUUAAUGGUGAGGAAAUUUUGCUGACUGACGUGGAAGAUUUACAGUGUUUUUGUGAAUGACCAGAAUGAAUCCAAAAGAAGGAUCAUCAGGAAUGUACUGUGACCUGAUAUGUCUCAUGAUUGAAUCAUUCAACAUCUUUCGGGAAGAGAAAAAUCAGAGGCAACCUAAUAACUGUCCAACAUACAGGACUGGUGAAACCCAUUAUGGUACUUUCAUACAGUCAAUUACUUUGCAAUUAUGUAUGAAUGCUCAGAGUACCUCUAUUAACAUUCAUGGUAUCAAAUGAAGUGAAAAGAGCAAAUUACAGAUAGGAUGAUCCUUUUUUUUUAAUUUUGGUAAAAAAUAUGUAAAAUUUACCAUUUCAGCCAUUUUUAAGAGUAUAGUUCUAUGGCUGAUUCAUGUUGAUGUAUGGCAGAAACCAGCUCAAUGUUGUAAAUCUGUUAUCUUCCAAUUAAAAAUAAAUAUAUUAAAAACAGUAUAGUUCUAAAGACUGAAAUGUAUAUAUAUAUAUAUAAAACUGAAUCACUUUGCUGUCCAUGUGAAAGUAACACAACUUUGUAAAUCAACUAUAUUUCAAUAAACAAGAGGAUAGUUCUGUGAUGUUAAAGUAUAUCCACACACACACACACACAAAAGUAUAUCCACAUUGCUGUGCAGCUAUCAUCACCAUCUGUCUACAGAACAUUUU